rnacentral:rRNA from 1 species
AGUUGAUCCUGGCUUAGGAUGAACGCUAGCUACAGGCUUAACACAUGCAAGUCGAGGGGCAGCAUGAGGAUAGCUUGCUAUCCUUGAUGGCGACCGGCGCACGGGUGCGUAACACGUAUCCAAUCUACCCAUUGCUCGGGAAUAGCCUUUCGAAAGAAAGAUUAAUGCCCGAUGGUCUCAAUCCAGGGCAUCCUGUUUUGAGUAAAGAUUCAUCGGCGAUGGAUGGGGAUGCGUCCGAUUAGCUGGUUGGCGGGGCAACGGCCCACCAAGGCGACGAUCGGUAGGGGUUCUGAGAGGAAGGUCCCCCACACUGGAACUGAGACACGGUCCAGACUCCUACGGGAGGCAGCAGUGAGGAAUAUUGGUCAAUGGUCGAGAGACUGAACCAGCCAAGUAAGCGUGAGGGACGGCGGCCCUAUGGGUUGUAAACCUCUUUUGUUUGGGAAUAAAGUGCGGGACGCGUCCCGCUUUGUAUGUACCAUGCGAAUAAGCAUCGGCUAAUUCCGUGCCAGCCGCCGC